UGGGGAAUAUUGCGCAAUGGGGGAAACCCUGACGCAGCGACGCCGUGUGAGGGAAGAAGGCCUUCGGGUCGUAAACCUCUGUCGGGAGGGAAGAACCGCCGGUUUCCGAACAGGGAGCCGGUCUGACGGUACCUCCGAAGGAAGCGCCGGCUAACUCCGUGCCAGCAGCCGCGGUAAUACGGAGGGCGCGAGCGUUAAUCGGAAUCACUGGGCGUAAAGCGCGCGUAGGCGGCUUGAUAAGUCGGGCGUGAAAGCCCUCGGCCCAACCGAGGAACUGCGUUCGAUACUGUUAGGCUUGAGUCCUGGAGAGGGUGGCGGAAUUCCGGGUGUAGGAGUGAAAUCCGUAGAUAUCCGGAGGAACACCGGUGGCGAAGGCGGCCACCUGGACAGGUACUGACGCUGAGGUGCGAAAGCGUGGGGAGCAAACAG
rnacentral:rRNA from 1 species